rnacentral:rRNA from 1 species
GACGAACGCUGGCGGCGUGCCUAAUACAUGCAAGUAGAACGCUGAGGACUGGUGCUUGCACUGGUCUAAGGAGUUGCGAACGGGUGAGUAACGCGUAGGUAACCUACCUCAUAGCGGGGGAUAACUAUUGGAAACGAUAGCUAAUACCGCAUGACAAUAGGGUACACAUGUACCCUAUUUAAAAGGGGCAAAUGCUUCACUAUGAGAUGGACCUGCGUUGUAUUAGCUAGUUGGUGGGGUAACGGCCUACCAAGGCGACGAUGCGUAGCCGACCUGAGAGGGUGAUCGGCCACAUUGGGACUGAGACACGGCCCAG